AUUGAACGCUGGCGGCAGGCCUAACACAUGCAAGUCGAACGAGUGGCGGACGGGUGAGUAAUGUCUGGGAAACUGCCCGAUGGAGGGGGAUAACUACCGGAAACGGUAGCUAAUACCGCAUACCAUCGGAUGUGCCCAGGUGGGAUUAGCUAGUAGGUGGGGGAACGGCUCACCUAGGCGACGAUCCCUAGCUGGUCUGAGAGGAUGACCCGCAACACGGGGACGGUGGCAAGGUCCAGACUCCUACGGGGGGCAGCAGUGGGGAAUAUUGCACAAUGGGCGCAAGCCUGAUGCAGCCAUGCCGCGUGUAUGAAGAAGGCCUUCGGGUUGUAAAGUACUUUCAGCGCGGAGGAGUUACUCGCAGAAGAAGCACCGGCUAACUCCGUGCCAGCAGCCGCGGUAAUUC
rnacentral:rRNA from 1 species